rnacentral:rRNA from 1 species
CCUACGGGGGGCGGCAGUGGGGAAUCUUGCGCAAUGGGCGAAAGCCUGACGCAGCGACGCCGCGUGAGCGAUGAAGGCCUUCGGGUUGUAAAGCUCUGUGGGGAGGAAAGAAUAAGGGCGGGCUAAUAUCCCGUCUGAUGACGGUACCUCCUUAGCAAGCACCGGCUAACUCUGUGCCAGCAGCCCCGGUC